GCCGUGAUCGUAUAGUGGUUAGCACAUUGCGUUGUGGCCGCAAUAACCCAGGUUCGAUUCCUGGCCACGGAA
rnacentral:tRNA from 1 species